GACGAACGCUGGCGGCGUGCUUAACACAUGCCAGUCGAACGGUAAGGCCCCAGCUUGCUGGGGUACACGAGUGGCGAACGGGUGAGUAACACGUGGGUGACCUGCCCCGCACUUCGGGAUAAGCCUGGGAAACUGGGUCUAAUACCGGAUAGGGCCGCACCGUGAGGGUGUGGUGGAAAGUUUUUCGGUGUGGGAUGGGCCCGCGGCCUAUCAGCUUGUUGGUGGGGUAAUGGCCUACCAAGGCGGCGACGGGUAGCCGGCCUGAGAGGGUGGACGGCCACAUUGGGACUGAGACACGGCCCAGACUCCUACGGGAGGCAGCAGUGGGGAAUAUUGCACAAUGGGCGGAAGCCUGAUGCAGCGACGCCGCGUGGGGGAUGACGGCCUUCGGGUUGUAAACUCCUUUCACCAUCGACGAAGGUUUUCUGACGGUAGAUGGAGAAGAAGCACCGGCUAACUACGUG
rnacentral:rRNA from 1 species